ensembl:lncRNA
GCCACAGACUGGACAUAGAGUCAGAGGCAAAUGUCACGGUAAGCACUGCAAGCCCUGUUGGCUUAGCUACCCUUCAGGUCACUUCUUUGGCCUACUGUGUCCUCCUUUCCCUGUAUCAUUUAUAUUUUCCAUUUUUCACUUAUUUUUGCUGUGAGUUUUAGACAUUGGUAUCAGUGGAUGGAUAAUGCAAGGAUUUCUCCUUUGCCUUUUUAUAAAAAAAACAACACAACAUGGUUUGAAGACUUCUCCCCCUGUUCUUUCUCUUAACAUGUCUAAGGUGAUCUACAGAGCAGCUGAGAAUUGGAUGAUGGCUUUUAUGGUGGCUAGAAAUUCUGUGAAACCUGCAGAGACAUUGCCAGAACUUCACUAUCCUCUGGAAACAGGUGUGCUGGUGCAGGGGUUUCAGAGUGCUUCUCAUCAUGGGGGGUCACCCACUCUGCCACUUCCAGGAAAGCUGCAGCUCUUCCUCCAUCUUGACACAGGCAAGAGCAGCACCGGCCAUCACAGUCCCAGCUGUGGUGAGGAAGUCCUGGCUCUGCUCUAGGUAAACACUUACAGCAUCAUUUCUGUUUCUACUGGCAGUGGUCUACUGGCAGUGGCCUGGUGGUCCCUGCUGACCCUCUGCUGAAUCCCUGGAGUGGCCAUGUCACCAUCGCCAGACCCAACAGCUCUAGGACAUGUGCUGCUGGCAGCAAGUGGCUGCACAUGGGCAUUCAUAGCUUGGUGCCAUCUCACUCUUCUGCCCUCACUGCCUGCCUUGCCAAGGGUCAGGAGGUCAUGGGGAACAGGCCCCAUGGAGACAGAAUGGGAAUGGAAGGAAGGGGGAGAAGAUAGUGUCUGACUCAGGUACAGGAUAGGGAACAGAGUGUGAUCCCAGGAGGCUUUAACAAAGUGGUGGGGACUUGGUUUUCAUGGUAAUAGAUAGUUGUGUCCAAACUCAAGCUUGUCUAUUCCCAAGAGUGAGCCUACACACAAAAUUGCAAGGUCCUAGCAUGAAAAAAUACUUCAGAAGUUAUGAAUGCUCUUAGGAAGUUAUUCCCCAGACCUUCUCUGCAAGUCUGCAUAAUUGCUACUUUUUUCCACCCUCUUUUAACUUAGCUUGUGAACCUCAUCCAUCCAUGAAGGCCUGAAGUCUGGCUGUCUAAGGAAAUCCCCACAGAGGAGGAGAGCUGGCAGCUCUUGGCACCCCAGCAUUCUCUUCAGUGGUUUCACUGGAUCCACUGAGCAGCACUGGAAAGUCCGUUCUGACUUUUGCAGUGUAUGGCACUCAUUCCCCACCCACACUCAAUGACAGCGGGCUUUUGAAAGAUUGCUUAAAUUUGAAAAAAAGUUGUGAUGUUGUGAUGAACCUCCCUUUCUUUGCGAUGAACCAUUCUUUCAUUGUCUCAGUGCUCCAAAGUUCUUUCCUUGCUGGACUGGGCAAAGCCAUGUGCUGUCUGCAGAGGAGGCAGGCAAGCCUCAGUGGCUGUCCUUGUUUCAGGGCUUGACUUCCCUUCUGUCCUUGAGGUUUCAAACAUGAGAGACCAUGGUAGUCUCCAUUCAAUGAAACAUCUGGCUGUGGUGGGUUCUUAAAUAUAUAUGCGUACAUAUUUAAUCCCUGUUGGCACAGCAGUUCUCAAGGCCCAGAAGAGAACUUCCAUAGCCUGUGACACUUCCAGAUACAGAUGGCAGCAUACGGUGUUUUGGCACCAUGUUCACCAUCAGAGGCUACUGACUAAAGAGAGUGGUAAGACUACUGUGGAGACAUUGCUGUGAAUGGUCAUGUUCAGCCCCUAGUUUUCUCCAUUUCAAGAAAGCAUGCAGGUGGAAGUAAAGAUCUGCCAGUUCAAAGGUUGACUUUGAUUUCAUAUGUUUGUGCCUAUAGGUGAAGCAAGCCAAUCCACACCUAGGAAAAUGAAGCCUUUUGAAACGAAGCUUUCAAAACCAUCAGUUAAAACUUUUUAUGUUAAUUAAAAGAUUAAUAUAAUUGAUUUAAAGAGCAUGCACAUCGUGGCAUCCUAUUAGGGACAUGCUAUCUGCAGUUUACAUUUGGUUUACUCACUGCAAAUACCACAUGUGCAGUGAAGUAAAAAGGGUGAGGUUAACCAUGAAUGGAGAGAAGCAAGUUGUCCUUGUUUAGUUAUCUUGUGGUAAAAAACACAACAACUUUAUCUCCAUUUGGAUUUUACUAUGAGCUUGCUAACGCUCAGUAGCUAACUUGUUUUUGUGUUCUCCUUCAGUCUUCCCCCACCAACUUCUCCUGCAUGAGAGACUUCAUUUCAGAGUCAUCCAAUUUCCACAAUCACAAUUUCUGCACACUUGAUUAUUGCUGAGAUGUUUUGCUCUUAUGGCUGGUCAGGGAAUCCACAACUAAAUGACUUUCUCAAGGAGACAUGAGAAAAGAAGCUGGAAAUUGAAUUCAGGCAUUCUCAUUUAAGGGGCUUGCUUAGAAGUUUUUUUUUUUUCUGUUUAAUCUCUCUGAGUCUCUUUACAUUGGUCCAAGUGGUUAGUUAAUCCACCAGACCUUUCUUGAGGCCAACAUCAACCUAACACCAAAAUUUACAGAGUUCUCCACCAAAUCAACACAUUCUUUGCAGACAAAGUUAAAAAGAAAUCAGUCUUCCAAGGUGUGCACUGCUGACUCGCGUCUCUCCAGCAGCUUAGCUUUACUUAGAACAGAUUGUAGCCUGCCUCUCCUCCUAAAAGAUUUACAAACCCUUCAUAGAGGUUGGGGACAGGCAGGUCUGUCUUGCUUUUACCUUCUGACAGCCAUAUGGAAAAUAAAGUGCUUCCUUGAGAAUAUUUGCUUGUCUUU